GGAAUAUUAGCAAAAGGAGAUAAUACCGACUUCCUUCCCAAAGGCCAUUGAUAUUCCACGGCUUCUUCUUCGUCGAUGUUUAGCCCUUCUUUCGAUAAGUGCUUCCAGAGCACUCUUAUCAGCCGCAUGACAUGAUUGUUGAAAACCAAAAGCCAAAAAAGAGUUGUGAAGCAGUUGAUCAUGCUAAGAGAUUGGAGGAGGAUUCAAUGAUUUUGCUUAAAGGGUAAUCAUGAUGUCAGCAAGCACUAGGGCAGAAAGUGGGGAGAAAAAAAGGAAAAAAAAAGAAACAGAAGAAAAAAAGAGAUAGCAGAUCUGUACAAAAAAAAAGAAAAGAAAAAAUUGGUCUUACAGAUCUAGAAAAAAAAUAGAGUGAUCCAAGAAAAUGUGAAACAAAAAAUAGCCCGAAUAAGCUGUGGAAUACUAUGUUAUCCCCUUGUUUGAACCAUGUGGGGAUGAAGUGUUGUCUAAAUAACGAUGAUCAUGAUGAAGAAUCUUCCCAUGAGGCAAACAAAAAGAGCCUAAAAAAACGGAGAAGUUCAAGAAAGCAAAACUUCUGACAUUCACCAUGGCGAGAUGAGCAGCGAGCAUGGCUUGAAAACUGAAGUGAAGAAGAUGGGAUAGAUAAUGCAUUUAUGCAAGAGAGAUCUGGGCUGUUGGAGAAAGAGAACAAGAAGCUUCAUGAUGGGCUCUUUGGUAAAGCUUGGAGAACUCGAAGAAGCCAAGGCAGUGGGAGGUGACUAGACUUCUACUUGCCACACAUACGACUUCAGAGUGUCGAACGUACUCCUGAUUGGCUACUGUCAGAAGGUUCUCUCUGAUAAAUCUGAGGCUCGGCUACGGAAUAUUAGCAAAAGGGGAUAAAUAUCGACUUCCUUCCCAAAGGCCAUUGAUAUUCCACGGCUUCUUCUUCGUCGAUGUUUAGCCCUUCUUUCGAUAAGUGCUUCCAGAGCACUGUUAUCAGCCGCAUGACAUGAUUGUUGAGAACCAAAAGCCAAAAAAGAGUUGUGAAGCAGUUGAUCAUGCUAAGAGAUUGGAGGAGGAUUCAAUGAUUUUGCUUAAAGGGUUAUCAUGAUGUCAGCCAGCACUAGGGCAGAAAGUGGGGAGAAAAAAAGGAAAAAAAAAAAGAAGAAAAAAAGAGAUAGCAGAUCUGUGGAAAAAAAAGAAAAGAAAAAAUUGGUCUCACAGAUCUAGAAAAAAAAAUAGUGAUCAACUAAAAUGUGAAGCAAAAAAUAGCCCGAAUAAGCUGUGGAAUACUAUGUUAUCCCCUUGUUUGAACCAUGUGGGGAUGAAGUGUUGUCUAAAUUAUGAUGAUCAUGAUGAAGAAUCUUCCCAUGAGGCAAACAAAAAGAGCCUAAAAAAAACGGAGAAGUUCAAGAGUGCAAAAAUUCUGACAUUCACCAUGGCGAGACGAGCAGCGAGCAUGGCUUGAAAUCUGAAGUGAAAAAGAUGGGAUAGAUAAUGCAUUUAUGCAAGAGAGAUCUGGGCUGUUGGAGGAAGAGAACAAGAAGCUUCAUGAUGGGCUCUUUGGUAAAGCUUGGAGAACUCGAAGAUGCCAGGGCAGUGGGAGAUGACUAGACUUCUACUUGCCACACAUACGACUUCAGAGUGUCGAACGUACUCCUGAUCGGCUACUGUCAGAAGGGUCUCUCUGAUAAAUCUGAGGCCCGGCUACGGAAUAUUAGCAAAUGGGGAUAAAUACCGACUUCCCUUCCCAAAGACCAUUGAUAUUCCACGGUUUCUUCUUCGUCGAUAUUUAGCCCUUCUUUCGAUAAGUGCUUCCAGAGCUCUCUUAUCGGCCGCAUGACAUGAUUGUUGAGAACCAAAAGCCAAAAAAGAGUUGUGAAGCAGUUGAUCAUGCUAAACGAUUGGAGGAGGAUUCAAUGAUUUUUCUUAGAGGGUUAUCAUGCUGUCCAUUUGGACUCUAUAUGGUUUAUUGACUUGGCUCUGGUUGCAUUGCCUGAGAUUAGGUGUUGGCAACAUGAUCAGAUAUGGGAAUCUGGGCAAAUAAAAUCAAACUCUAUGGAGAAAUCUUUGUUUCAGCUAUCGGACGUUGUGACAGUUUCCACACAAGACCUUCUACCAACCAAUCCUUAGAUACUUGACUAAGUUGAUAAUCUUGCAGAACUAAGUUAUUUGAACGAGCCUUCAACUCUUCACAAUCAUCGGUAUAGAUAAUUACAAGAUAAUAUAUAUAGAAUGGCAGGCCCUGUAUUAUUUCAGUCAGUUCAUUUAAAAAUGCCCAGAUAUAUGGGAAUGAUACAGAAAGAAGCUUUUGGACACUCCUCAUGUUUAUGCUAUUGCUGAUGCAACAUAAAAUGCAACGAUAGCAGAUGACAAUCACCAUGGCGAGACAAGCAGCGAGCAUGGCUAGAGAGCCGAUGUGGGUCAGAUGGGAUAUGGCAUUUAUGCAAGAGAGAUGUGGGAACAGGAGGAAGAGAACAAGAAACUUUGUGAUGGAGUAACGGGAGAUGAAGACGUUGAAUUGGUGAAGCUUCAACUUGAAGCACUUUUGGCAGAGCAAUCAAGACAGGAAAAUGACAAUGCAUACUUGACGAGGGUAACCCAGUUCCUGCAUUUUCGAGUACCACCAGCUGGCAUCACAUGAUAUCUCAUCUUCUUAUGAGAGCUUGCUAUGGGGAAUGCGGUUUGAUUUUUGUCUCCGCAAAAAGGUUUUGAAGAUGAGAGUUUCAACUUUCGACAACCUGACAUCACAUGAUAUCUCAUCUUCUUGUGAGAUAUUGAUUGUAGUCAGCCAACAUUAGGGCAGAAAGUGUAAAUAGAAACAUGGAAGGGGUAGAAUUAAAGCAAAGUGGAGAGAAAAAAAGGAAAAAAAAGAAAAAAGAAGGAAAAAAGAGAAAGCAGAUCUGUGGGAAGAAAAAAAAAGAGAAAAGAAGAAAAAGAAGAGAAAAAAUUGGUGUCACAAAUCUAAAAAAAAAGUAUAAAGCAGUAUCAAAGAAAGAGUUCCAAGAAAAUUUCUGAAGCAGUCUAUCAUGCUAAGUGAUUUAAGGAGGAUUCAGUGCUUUUGCUGAGAGGGUUUGAUUCAUUGGACAAGUUUCUUUCUCAUCUCUCUAACAAUCUUGAGACUGCUCUUGAGGAGGUAAAAGUCAUGUCGGACUACCAACAUUGAGUGAAAUCUUACAUGCCAACAACGAGAAAACCAAAGAUGGAGAAAAUUCUGUAGAGAAACUUCACAAGAGGCAAACAAAAAAGAGCUCAAAAGAAACGGAGAAUGUCAAGAAAGCAAAAAAUGCAACACACAAUCACCAUGGCGAGACGAGCAGCGAGCAAGGCUAGAGAGCCGAUGUGGGUCAGAUGGGAUAUGGCAUUUAUGCAAGAGAGAUCUGGGCUGUUGGAGGAAGAGAACAAGAAGCUCCGUGAUGGGCUCAUUGAUAAAGCAUGGAGAUCUCGAAGAAGCCAAGGCUGUGCUAGAUGACUGGAUUUCAGAGUGCCGAACAUUCUCCUGAUCGGCUACUGUCAGAAAGGUCUCCCUGAUUAAUCCGGGGCUCUGCUUUGGUAUAUUAGCAAAAGGGCAUAUAUACCGACUUCCCUUCACAAAGGCCAUUGAUUUUACACGACUUCAGAGUGCCUAACAUACCCCUUAUCGGCUACUAUGAGAAGGGUCACCCUGAUAAAUACGAGGCUCUGCUUCGGGAUAUUAACAAAAGGGGAUAAAUAUCGACCUCCCUUCACAAAGGCCAUCGAUUUUCCACGUUCUUCAAUGUUUAGUCCUUUUGAUAAGUGCUUCUGGAGCACUCUUAUCAGCCACAUGACAUGAUUGUUGAGAACCAGAAGCUAAAAAGAGUUGUGAAGCAGUUGAUCAUGCUAAGAGAUUGGAGGAGGAUCCAAUGCUUUUGCUUAGAGGGAUAUCAUGCUGUCCAUUUGGACUCUUUAUGGUUUAUGGACUUGGUGCUGGUUGCAUUACCUGAGAUUAGCUAUAUGGGGAUGAUAAAGAAAGAAGCUUUUGGACACUCCUCAUGUUUAUGCUAUUGCUGAUGCAACAUAAAAUGCAACGAUAGCAGUACUAACCAGGAGAAAGAGGGUGGAACAUUCAGAAUUCGGCAUCAUGCCCGGGAGGUUAGUGUACUUGUCAUUUUAGUUUAGUGGAAUAUUUGUACAAAGGCAAUAAUUUAGCUAGAGCAUGGGAACCUCAAGUAGAUUUAGAACUUGAUUAUUGUUGUUAUGCUGUAGUAAACAAUUACUAUGGUUGUUUUCAUGGGUAUGCAUUUGUUAAAUGUUAUCUAGCUAAGUGAAAUUGGAGCUACAAAUAGUGUUCAUGUAUGAUAGAAAAUGUCAAUUUGUACCAUUUGAUUUUGACCGGUUCAGUUAUGAAAAAGCCGUUAGACUUAUUGUAUUGGUGGCUGAAUAUUUAUUGAUCAUCUGCAACAAUGAAAGGCUGAUCCAUUCAUGCUAGUUGUGCUAGUUAUGUACAUUUGUUUGAGACCAUAAUGUGGGUGGGUGUCUUUGUGACUUAUGAUUAGAAUUUCCUUGUCGUAGUGAUGAUAAAGUUUUGAUAACGUAUUAUACAUGCCACUUAAUUCUAGAUAUAGGAUAUGUUACAUUUAUAUGUUCUUUUAGGUUUUUAAAAUUAUAAAUAAAUUAUUUUUGGCUUAAUUAUAUCGAUGUGAGCUUUUUACUGUGGGUUCUUUAUGAGACGGGAAAAUUCUUUGAAAAAAUCAGGAUCCUAUACAUUCUGAAAUUAUCUAGCUACUCUCAUCCUGUUACUGAUAUUCUUUGAUCUCUCGUUGAGAAUUUUCUAUUUUUAAUGCCAAAACGAAAAUGAAGACUGAGAUUUAUAGCACCGUUUAUGAGAAAUCAUUAUUGUUAUGGUCCAUCAAGUUUUGUGAAGUUUUAUGAGCAAGAAUCUGAUUCUUAUGAUGUCAACCUGGAGGGUAUGAACACGAAAGGAUGAGGUCACCAAAUCUCUGACACCUGAAUAGGUUCAUGAUUUCGAAGAUCAAUAAUUACUCGUAUAUGAGUGUUUUACAGCUUGGUUUAAUAGCUAAACCAUCACACUUAUGACAUGUUUAUUUUCCCUCAUAUUUGGGCAAUUGACACAAGAGAUGCAUUGGGCUUGUUCGAAUGGCUUGUGAAGCAGAUAAACUUGUCAUUUUCCUAGGGGAAAGACAAUAUGGGGCGGUCAGUAAGCAUCCUUGAUACGGAUUUGAGUCAGUUAAGUUAUGCUGACGAGUGGCUCGAGCACCAUUUCGAUCAACAUCUCGUCAAACAUGAGCAAGAAAAUAUGAGGUAGAUGGAAAUGACUGGAAGAGGAUUUUGAAGUCAACCAAGAUUGUGUGGAUCCUUUUGAGAAGGUAAUCAGCGUUAUAAUUGUUGUAUAGUAGGGUUUUCCUUUUUCACGCAGUAUUUUGAUUGACAUAGUUCUAUUUAUGUCUAUUAUGGGUAGCAUGAGAAGAAGGGCAACUAAAGCCAUUUUCUGUCAAUCAGUAAAACAUUAAGAUGAACCGUAAUAAUACACCCAACUCAUUUUUCUCAUCUGCUAAUUGUUAUUUUAUCGGACUUUUACCUGCAUUUGUUGAAUAGAUAUAUUUUACUAUCGAACAAAUUGUGUCUCUUUACUGUAUGUUUACAAUGGUGGCCUAGAUCAGACACCUAUUGGAUUCAUAUCAUUGCUGGAUAUAUUUUCAAAUCUUCCCAAAGCUACAUAUGUAACAUUUUCAGCUAAACAUCAGUACUAACCGGGAGAAAGAGGGUGUAACAUUCAGAAUUCGGCAUCAUGCCCGGGAGGUUAGUGUACUUGUCAUUUUACUUUAGUGGAAUAUUUGUACAAAGGCAAUAAUUUAGCUAGAGCAAGGGAACCUCAAGUUGAUUUAGAACUUGAUUAUUAUUGUUAUGCUGUAGUAAUCAAUUACUAUGGUUGUUUUCAUGGGUAUGCAUUUGUUAAAUGUUAUCUAGCUAAAUGAAAUUGGAGCUACAAAUAGUGUUCAUGUAUGAUAGAAAAUGUCAAUUUGUACCAUUUGAUUUUGACCGGUUCAGUUAUGAAAAAUCCGUUAGACUUAUUGUAUUGGUGGCAGAAUAUUUAUUGAUCAUCUGCAACAAUGGAAGGCUGAUCCAUUCAUGCUAGAUGUGCUAGUUAUGUACAAUGGCAGAAUAUUUUUAUAUAUAAUACCUAAUAUACUCGGAGAAUUGCUUGUCUUGUUAACAUAUUGGUUUAGCAAGUUGCUAAUUUUUCUAUCUGGUUUGCUAAUUUUUAUAUUUGCGGAUGAAGUAAGCAUGUCUAUAAUUAUCAUGUUAGCUGCAAGCUAUUCAGUUUAAGCCUGUGUAUAUUUGAUAAUUUUUUAUAUUUGCAGAUGAAGUAAGCCGGAUGAAAUGCUUGUCUUCUUCCUUUGUUCCAUGCUGUAGCUUUGUUUCUAAUAAUUUUUUUUAUCAACUUUAUUUGCCUAUUUCGGUUUGGUGCUAUGUUUAAGUUAAAUGUGAAAAAGAAAAGAGAGUGGAUAGAGGGAAUGAAAUGAGGAAGUUGGCUAUAAGAAUAAAAGUGAUUCAAACAAAGAAAGAAGAUAAAGAGCUGUUGGAGCAGACGAAAUCAGCCACCUCAAGAGUUGUUGCAAGGGACAAAGGGAGUUGAUAAUGAGGCUGACACAGUUCUAAAGAUGCAGGGGAAGAAGAGAAAACUGCCCAAUCUUGGACAUGCCUGAGAUCCUAUGGCAUGCAAAGCUGACCAGCACACAAGAAAUUGCUUGGGGAGUCAAACAAUGACCACAAAGGAAACAUAUGCAAGGAAUAAUUUGAGAAACGUUGGCCUUCAGUUUAAUCGCCUACCUCUAUCUGACUGCUAAAAGGUUUUGUGAAGUUUUAGGAGCAAGAUCUAAUUCUUAUGAUGUCAACCAGGAGAGGUCACCAAAUCUCUUGACACCUGAAUAGGCAAUUGACACAAGAGAUGCAUUGGCAAUGUUUAAGCUUGUUCUAAUGGCCUGUGGAGCAGAUAAACUUGUCACUUUCCUAGGGGAAAGAUAAUAUGGGGCGUUCAGUAAGCAUCCUUUAUAUGGGUUUGAGUCACUUAAGCUGUGCUGACCAGCGGCUCGAGCACCAUUUCAAUCAACAUUUCGUCAAAUAUGAGCAAGAAGUAAGCAUCACACAUAAAAGGCAUUUCAAGUUAUUUCCUUCGGUCUUUCCUUCACAAAACAGAGCCUGCAAGGAUUAAAAAUUGUGAAUCCAUAAACGAAAUCAGCCACGUCAAGAGUUUGUUGCAAGGGAGGAAAGGAGUUGAAAUAGGAGAGGAAUGGGGCUGACACAGUUCUGAAGAUGCAAGGGAAGAAGAGAAAACUUCCCAAUCUUGGACAUGCCUGAGAUCCAAUGACAUGCAAAGCUGACCAGCACACAAGGUAGGCUGAGGUGAAGAAGUGCUUAUGAAGUGAAUCUUUGAAAACAUUGAUGAUGAACAAAAGAUUCAUAAUCUUAUGGUAAUUGUACUAGAGAAUUUGCUUGCAAAUCUAUUUUCUCUUAAUGUAAAGAGACAUAACAGAAUAUGGUCAUACUAGGUCAUUAGAUAAGAUAAGCAUAAUGUAUAGAGACAUAUAGAAUAUAUAUAGUGUAUGUAGUGUA